rnacentral:rRNA from 1 species
GAUGAACGCUGGCGGCGUGCCUAAUACAUGCAAGUCGAGCGAACAGACGAGGAGCUUGCUCCUCUGACGUUAGCGGCGGACGGGUGAGUAACACGUGGAUAACCUACCUAUAAGACUGGGAUAACUUCGGGAAACCGGAGCUAAUACCGGAUAAUAUAUUGAACCGCAUGGUUCAAUAGUGAAAGACGGUUUUGCUGUCACUUAUAGAUGGAUCCGCGCCGCAUUAGCUAGUUGGUAAGGUAACGGCUUACCAAGGCAACGAUGCGUAGCCGACCCGAGAGGGUGGACGGCCACACUGGAUCAGAGACACGGCCCAGACUCUUACGCGGAGCCGCAGUAGGGACUCUUACGCAAUGGGCGAAUGCCUGACGGUGCAACGCCGCGUGAGGCAUGAUGGUCUUCGGCUCGUAAAACUAUGAAAUUAGGGAAGAACAAAUGUGUAAGUACCUAUGCACGUCUUGACGGUACCUAGUCAGAAAGCCACGGCUAACUACGUG